GACGAACGCUGGCGGCGUGCUUAACACAUGCAAGUCGAACGGAAAGGCCCUGCUUUUGUGGGGUGCUCGAGUGGCGAACGGGUGAGUAACACGUGAGUAACCUGCCCUUGACUUUGGGAUAACUUCAGGAAACUGGGGCUAAUACCGGCUAGGAGCUCCUGCUGCAUGGUGGGGGUUGGAAAGUUUCGGCUGUUGGGGUUGGACUCGCGGGUUAUCAGCUUGUUGGUGGGGUAGUGGCUUACCCAGGCUUUGACGGGUAGCCGGCCUGAGAGGGUGACCGGCCACAUUGGGACUGAGAGACGGCCCAGACGCCUACGGGAGGCAGCAGUGGGGAAUAUUGCAAGCUGGGCGGCAGCCUGAUGCAGCAACGCCGCGUGCGGGAUGACGGCCUUCGGGUUGUAAACCGCUUUCGCCUGUGACGAAGCGUUAGUGACGGUAAUGAGUAAAGAAGCACCGGCUAACUACGUG
rnacentral:rRNA from 1 species